rnacentral:rRNA from 1 species
CCUACGGGGGGCUGCAGUGGGGAAUAUUGGACAAUGGGGGGAACCCUGAUCCAGCCAUGCCGCGUGUGUGAAGAUGGCCCUCGGGUUGUAAAGCACUUUCAGUGAGGAAGAACGCCUGGUGGUUAAUACCCAUCAGGAAAGACAUCACUCACAGAAGAAGCACCGGCUAACUCCGUGCCAGCAGCCGCGGUAAUACGGAGGGUGCGAGCGUUAAUCGGAAUUACUGGGCGUAAAGCGCGCGUAGGUGGCUUGAUAAGCCGGUUGUGAAAGCCCCGGGCUCAACCUGGGAACGGCAUCCGGAACUGUCAAGCUAGAGUGCAGGAGAGGAAGGUAGAAUUCCCGGUGUAGCGGUGAAAUGCGUAGAGAUCGGGAGGAAUACCAGUGGCGAAGGCGGCCUUCUGGACUGACACUGACACUGAGGUGCGAAAGCGUGGGUAGCAAACAGGAUUAGAUACCCUGGUAGUC